AUUAUGGCUCAGGAUGAACGCUGGCGGCGUGCUUAAUACAUGCAAGUCGAACGAAGCACCUGCGACGGAUCCCUUCGGGGUGAAGAUGCUUGUGACUGAGUGGCGGACGGGUGAGUAACGCGUGGGUAACCUGCCUUAUGCAGGGGGACAACAGUUGGAAACGACUGCUAAUACCGCAUAAGCGCACGGCACCGCAUGGUGCAGUGUGAAAAGAUUUAUCGGCAUAAGAUGGACCCGCGUCUGAUUAGGUAGUUGGUGAGGUAACGGCCCACCAAGCCGACGAUCAGUAGCCGACUUGAGAGAGUGAUCGGCCACAUUGGGACUGAGACACGGCCCAAACUCCUACGGGAGGCAGCAGUGGGGAAUAUUGCACAAUGGGGGAAACCCUGAUGCAAGCGACGCCGCGUGAGUGAAGAAGUAUUUCGGUAUGUAAAGCUCUAUCAGCAGGGAAGAAAAUGACGGUACCUGACUAAGAAGCCCCGGCUAACUACGUGCCAGCAGCCGC
rnacentral:rRNA from 1 species